GCGGAAGUGAAAGCGAGCUAUCCCAGAAAGAAGCGUGUUUAAGAUGACCUUUGGCAAACUUCCGAUUGAACUAAUCGUUGAAUAAUCGAGGCCAACAGUAUUCAUCGUUGGACGAUCGCGAUGCCCAUUAACUUUUUGUACGUCAAAACGAGAUACAGCAGGUUAUCGGUUGGGUUGGUCAUCGAUUGGCCUGAUCAAACUUUGACGAAGGUCACCCUUAGCCUUGGCGGUAUUUAACGGAAAACUGAGCAUCUCUGUUUAGACUAUUGAAGCGACAAGGGAUUCAGCACACACACACACACACACACACAGCAGGUCUAAUUAAGGAAAAAUGAAAAGGAACUCUUGAGAUUGGCACAUAUUUUCUUCACGCUUGGAGUACUUACGCAGGUAUUUCCUAAAGUAAUGUAUCUAUUUAGUAUUGUCCUUCGAGUAAUUAAAAUCGACGAAGAAUAUCAACAAGUUUGAGCCUUGUACAAACGCACAGUCGCAGAAAGAAUCGAGUGUGGGAGACUGGCGGACCUUGUGUAAAA